AUAGUUACAUACAAAACAUAUACUACCAUAUCCCAUUUGUCAUACACAUAUUAUGUCUUGAAGUCUAUACUGCAGUAGCCAGCUGCUCUUCUCUCUCCUCUUUUAUCUUCUUAAAAUAUGUUUAUAGCUGACUUAUAGCUUACUAUUAUACCUACACUUAUGCAGAGCUUAAUUGUUCACAACAAGAUACUAGCUACCAAGGUCUUAAUUAGUCAAAAGUUCACAAGUCUACAUGUGGGAAAUUAAGAGAAAAGGUUGCAUGUGUGUUCCCAUGUGCUGAAAAAGCGAUAU
rnacentral:lncRNA from 1 species